CUUUGACAUCAGCACAGCUUUGAAAGGGGGAUGGGAGAGCGAGCAGAAAGCAGAAAAACCAGCUUUGAACUAUGCAUGCAAGGCCUCUUUCAAGCCUCAAAUUCUGUACUUAGCAAAAGUAUUCUAAAGUUCACCUGCAAAAAAUAAAAGAACAAGAAGAAUGAGAACACUACUAAUGAGAAAGAUAAGGACGGCUUGAGCCAGGGCAGUUCAGGAAACACUUGAGGAGCAGAGGCAGCAGGGCGCUGGACCAGACAGAGGACGGGAAUGUCCAAGAAGUGGUCUCUGUGUGCGGUAAUGAGCCGAGAUUACAGCUGGCAGCUGGAAACUAAACCCCAUGGGUGCCACCCAGAGAGAGCUGAGACUGACCAUGGAGUAACGGCCAAGGUCAUGUGUGUAGCCCCGGGCCAUGGAGAGGGGGUACCCUGGAGGGGCUGGGCUGGCUGGCUGGGCUCAGGCUGUCUGACAGGCAACGGGCUCCCCAGUGUUCUGAAGAGGGAGUGGCCCUGGUGGUAACUCUCUGUGGCUUAGAGGGGCUGAAGCUAGAACACCGCUGUGACUCCGGGCCCGCUGGUUCCCUGAGGGCAAGGGCCACCUUGGGUCAUCGCUCUGAACACCUUCCCCUUGCUCUGAGAAGCACAGAUGGCCAGUGUGAACUGCCUCAGCAAUCCAGGGACUGUGUCCUCUCAUUAAGAUAUCAUGGCAAAUCACGAGAAGACACAAAAAUCAAAACAUGCAAGAGAAGAAAAGACUAAUGAAAGCAGAGAUUCCCUGCGCGGCUCUUUCUAAGCUGACUAGAAGAGCAGCAGGCACUCCGAUAACUUCCGCACAGUCCAUUUUUAUUAUUCUUCAACUAACAGGAGCUCCAUUUCAAGAUAACCAAGUAUCUCUGGUUGGUAAGAAAAAUCACUGCUUUCAGAAGAACGUUAGAGUAAAUGUUGAAUUCGCUAGUGAAACUGAAACUACUGACUCAGGACUCAUAUCUGGGAAAACAUACUGUUACAAUUCAACAAGAAGAAGACAACCAACUUAAAAAAAGACAUCUCAUCAAAGAAGAGAGACAAAUGGCUAACAGGCAUAUGAAAAGAUGCUUAAAAUUUCCAGUCAUUGGGGAAAGGCCAAUGGAAACCACAGUGAGACACCAUUACACACCCACAAGAAUUAAGCUAUAAUCGAAAAGACAAUAAUAGAUAUUGGCAAGAAUGUGGCCACAUCAGAGCCCUCAUACAUUGUUGGUGGAAAUGUAAA
rnacentral:lncRNA from 1 species